CUUAUUUGAUUCAUUGUUUUUAUACAUAAAAAUCUUUCUCGGUGUGUAUUUGGGACUUUGGGGUGAUUGGGGAGUCCAAUGACCCAUUUAUUGUGUCUGACUUUCUAAUAAAUUGUAUAAUUUUAUUAAUAUCCUCCAGAAGAAGCUGGUGAUGCAGGCUGAGCCUGGAGUUAGGGGAGAUCCCAGUUCAAAUCCAAUCUCAGAUACUUCCUAAUUCUAUGAUCCUGGGCAAAUCCCUAUUGGCUCAAUUUCUUCAGCUGUGAAAUGGGGAUAAUAGAACCUUACACGCAUAUACAGAGAUGCGCUCUUGUUUCCUCUCAGGCUUUGAAAUGUAAGUUCUUUGCACACAUACUAAUACUUUUACAUGUCACACAAAUGUAUAUUAACUAAAUUUUUUCCUGGUGGUACAGGCUGUGAAAAUGCACUAUUUUCAACCGUUAGCUAGACAAGAAUGAAAAUUUAAUCACCGCAAAUCAAUCGACGUGGCAGCUCUUUGAGCUUGGCACUGGGUUCAGUACAACCUGAAGUCAGCCUCGCCCUGCCCCCACCCUCAAUCCUCGCAGGCCCUGUCACCGAGCCUUGCCUACUUACGCCUGAAAAACUACAAUUCCCAAGCAGGAACGAGCGACCUGCUCGUGAGUCCCCCGCCCCAGAACUACCUCACGCAGCAGAGGGCCAAGAGGCGGGAUUGUCGAUCUACGCUAGCGUCUCGCAAGUCCCUUCUCGUUCUGCGCAUGCGUUUUUCGAGUCACUUCCUCCUCCCUCCCUCUGUUAUCCGGUUUGACCUACUGUGGCCAGAGGAAAAAAAGAUGGCGGUGGCCGCUACCUCUGGGGCAGUCCAGCAGGUAAGAUACGCCGAUUCACCACUUCAGUGGCCAGACCAUUUGCCAAACUUGUCAGGGUAUGUUUGUUUAAUUCCUCAGCUAUACUUGACUCUAAUCAAAAGUUUGUAACUGUUAACUGGACUGCAGUAUAAUACACUGAGUUAUAUUGAUUGGAUUUUGUCUAUAACCUUCUAUAUUAUAUUUGACACUUCAUAGACUGUAAUGUUCUUGAAGAAAAAAGUCACCCUGCUAGACAACUGCAAUUCAUAGGUAGAACCUAAUGGUUUUUCAACAAGUGUAUAGCAUUUUUCAAAUGUCUGAUUUUCAGUAUUUAUCUAUCAAAACAUCUGGGGUUUUGCAUGUUUAGUUUUAAAGUUUUUUACCACUCUGUCUUUUCCAUACACAAAUCCUGUUUACUCUCCAUAUUUUAAUUUUGCAAAUUCCCUAUUGAAUUUUUAAAGAAUUUGCCAAUCUUUGCCAUUGUUUAAUCUUUUUUAAAAUAUUAAGAGAAUUAUAGAUUCUGAGUUGGAAGGGACCUCAGAGUUUAUCUGGUUCAACUCAUACCUAAAAUGAAUUCCCUCUGCAACAUUCUCCAUUAAGUGAUCAUCCAUCCUUUGAGGGGAGAGCUCCCACUACCUCCUGAGAAGCCAAUUCCACUUUUCCAUAAUUAUAAUUACUACAAUGUAUUUCUGUAGAUGUAAAUAUAUAUUCCUUCUAAUUUCUCCUCAUUCCACCUACUUCUAUAUUUUGGGGCAAAACAGAUGAAGUAUAUUCCCUCUUCCCUGUGUCAGCUUUUCAAAUCAUCUUUAUUGCCCAGAAACUCUCAGUAAUGUGUAAUCUUAGAGAGUUCUUUAGGACACUGAGAGAUAAACUGAUUUGUCUAGGAUCAUACAGCCAAUGUGUGUCAGAGUCCACACCUGAAUCUUCUUGACUUUUAGUUUGAUUCUUCUUUCUAGGCCAGACGUCUCUAGUUCCUCCAACUGGUUCUCAAAGGAUAUUAUGGUUUAUCAUGAACAUCUAAUUUGAAUACCAUGCUUAAUAAGUGACCAGAAGAUAAAUAGGACAUAGAGUUAGGAUCAUUAUAUGAAAGGGGAGACUUUACAGGGCAGUGUCAUAAACUUGUUACAAAUAAUACUAUAAAAUAAAUCUAUCUGUAAAAAUAUUCA
ensembl:lncRNA